GCUGGCGGCAGGCCUAACACAUGCAAGUCGAACGGAGUUAUAUUGUAGCUUGCUAUGGUAUAACUUAGUGGCAGACGGGUGAGUAAUGUAUAGGAAUCUACCUAGUAGUACGGAAUAAUUGUUGGAAACGGCAACUAAUACCGUAUACGCCCUACGGGGGAAAAAUUUAUUGCUAUUAGAUGAGCCUAUAUUAGAUUAGCUAGUUGGUGGAGUAAUAGCCUACCAAGGCAAUGAUCUAUAGCUGAUCUGAGAGGAUGAUCAGCCACACUGGAACUGAGAUACGGUCCAGACUCCUACGGGAGGCAGCAGUGGGGAAUAUUGGACAAUGGGCGAAAGCCUGAUCCAGCCAUGCCGCAUGAGUGAAGAAGGCCUUUGGGUUGUAAAGCUCUUUUAGUGAGGAAGAUAAUGACGGUACUCACAGAAGAAGUCCUGGCUAACUCCGUGCCAGCAGCCGCGGUAAUACGGAGAGGGCUAGCGUUAUUCGGAAUUAUUGGGCGUAAAGGGCGCGUAGGCGGAUUAGUAAGUUAAAAGUGAAAUCCCAAGGCUCAACCUUGGAAUUGCUUUUAAAACUGCUAAUCUAGAGAUUGAAAGAGGAUAGAGGAAUUCCUAGUGUAGAGGUGAAAUUCGUGAAUAUUAGGAGGAACACCANUGGCGAAGGCGUCUAUCUGGUUCAAAUCUGACGCUGAGGCGCGAAGGCGUGGGGAGCAAACAGGAUUAGAUACCCUGGUAGUCCACGCUGUAAACGAAGAAUGUUAAAUAUGGGAAGUUUUACUUUCUGU
rnacentral:rRNA from 1 species